AGAUAGCUGUGUUAGUACCAGUCCCACUGGACCCCAGGAUAGAUACUGGACCCCAGGAUAGAUACUGGACCCCAGGAUAGAUACUGGACCCCAGGAUAGAUACUGGACCCCAGGAUAGAUACUGGACUACAGAUAGCUGUGUUAGUACCAGUCCUACUGGACCCCAGGAUAGAUACUGGACCCCAGGAUAGAUACUGGACCCCAGGAUAGAUACUGGACCCCAGGAUAGAUACUGGACCCCAGGAUAGAUACUGGACCCCAGGAUAGAUACUGGACCCCAGGAUAGAUACUGGACCCCAGGAUAGAUACUGGACCCCAGGAUAGAUACUGGACCCCAGGAUAGAUACUGGACCCCAGGAUAGAUACUGGACCCCAGGAUAGAUACUGGACCCCAGGAUAGAUACUGGACCCCAGGAUAGAUACUGGACCCCAGGAUAGGUACUGGACCCCAGGAUAGAUACUGGACCCCAGGAUAGAUACUGGACCCCAGGAUAGAUACUGGACCCCAGGAUAGAUACUGGACCCCAGGGUAGGUACUGGACCCCAGGAUAGAUACUGGACUACAGAUAGCAGUGUUAGUACCAGUCCUACUGGACCCCAGGAUAGAUACUGGACCCCAGGAUAAAUACUGGACUACAGAUAGCUGUGUUAGUACCAGUCCUACUGGACCCCAGGAUAGAUACUGGACCCCAGGAUAGAUACUGGACGCCAGGAUAGAUACUGGACCCCAGGAUAGAUACUGGACCCCAGGGUAGAUACUGGACCCCAGGGUAGAUACUGGACCCCAGGAUAGAUACUG